rnacentral:misc_RNA from 1 species
GCAUUCAUUACCUUGUAGAAAUGAGACCUAAAUAUGCAUGUUUCUUGUAGUGUUUACUGGGAGUAUUCAGUUUACAUUGUACUGUAGAUAUCCUUUAUUUUGCAUUUAAAAUACUAGAUAGUUUGUCAGAUCCCUUUGUUCUAGGAAUCUUUUUGCUAUCUGUUAGAUUCCCUAGUGUCAAUGAGGCAUUUCUCUGUAAGAGCCAGAUUAGAUUGAUUUUUAUUUUCUCCAAAGGAAGGAUAUCCUUCUGACAGGCUGGAGAUUUGUCAAAAGGAAAGUUCUAUGAAUAUGCUGUUGUAAUUUUUUUAGAUAUUUUAAGGACUUGUGCAAGUUAUCCUCUCUGUUGGAGACUAAAACCUUUGAACCACAAUGGUACCCAAUCAUCAAUCAAGGACAUGAAGGCAUGGAGGAUUGGCUAUAAGAAGUGGUUGAUUUGGAUGGCACAAUUAGUUGCCAAUAGUCUCCAUAUGCCAUGCUCUUUUCACAUGAAAUGUAUUCUGUGGUGUGAUGGCUAAGGAAGUAGUUAUUUUGGAAAAUAAUUAUGAUGAGGCAUUGAAUGAUCAUUUUCAGAAAGUAUUUCUUGUGCCCUUCUUCUUUUUGGUCAUUCUUCUGUGUCAUUAAUUCUGAAAGGAAAAUUAAUAGU